rnacentral:rRNA from 1 species
UUGAACGCUGGCGGCAUGCCUUACACAUGCAAGUCGAACGGCAGCACGGGAGCAAUCCUGGUGGCGAGUGGCGAACGGGUGAGUAAUAUAUCGGAACGUGCCCAGUCGUGGGGGAUAACGUAGCGAAAAGCUACGCUAAUACCGCAUACGAUCUACGGAUGAAAGCGGGGGACCGCAAGACCUCGCGCGAUUGGAGCGGCCGAUAUCAGAUUAGGUAGUUGGUGAGGUAAAGGCUCACCAAGCCGACGAUCUGUAGCUGGUCUGAGAGGACGACCAGCCACACUGGGACUGAGACACGGCCCAGACUCCUACGGGAGGCAGCAGUGGGGAAUUUUGGACAAUGGGCGCAAGCCUGAUCCAGCAAUGCCGCGUGCAGGAUGAAGGCCUUCGGGUUGUAAACUGCUUUGUACGGAACGAAACGGUGAGCUCUAAUACAGUUUGCUAAUGACGGUACCGUAAGAAUAAGCACCGGCUAACUACGUG